rnacentral:rRNA from 1 species
AAAACGAGGUGAAUUGAAAUAUCUUACUAGCCUCAGGAAAAGAAAUCAAACGAGAUACUCUAAGUAAUGUGAAUGAAAGGAGUCAAGUCUGAAGGACCACCCAUAUAUACAUAAGGGUAGUCUAGUAAGUAAAGUGGAGUAUAUCUCAGCUUGAAAACUAGGGGAGCCUUCCUCUAAGACUAAAUAUGGUGUAUAAGCGAUAGCGAAGAAGUACCGAGAGGGAAAGGGUAGAAAUAGCAACUUUAUAAGCAGCUCUAGUGGAAUCUGGCAAGGAAACAGGAGCGUACCUUUUGCAUAAUGGGUCAGCAAGUUAAGAUUUGAUGCGAGCAGCUUUACAGUGUGAGGGUAUCCGAUGACCCUACCAGCUGCGAAGACAAGACGAUUAUAACAGAAAUGAUGUAGUAUCAGGUAUUAGACCCGAAGCUUAGUGAUCUUACCAUGGCCAGGGCUAUAAAGGCUCGAAGGGGUUGCUGUUGCAGAAGCAUCCCAAGAGCUGUGGUAAGUUAGUGAAAGACAACACUGACUAAGAUAGCUGGUUUUCCGCGAAACCUAUAUAAGUAGGUAGUUUAAAUGGGAUAUCAGGAGGUACAGAAUUGUGAUCCCAUGCAACUAGUACUGCUUUUCAUGCCUCUUAAGGGGGGUAAGGAACAAGGUGCUUUUUGCGGACAUUGGGGGUUCGUGAAGAAUCUAUCAGUGGGAAUUUGUUCUCGGAAGGCCUAGAUAUGAAUAUUGAACAAUCAGACGUAACACGAUAAGGUAAGGGAAACAGCCCAGAACAAGCGUAAAUAAGGUUCCUAAAUUGUUGUUAAGUGAAAGAAAGGUAGUUUUUAUCCCAAACGAUCAGGUAGUAGGCUUAGCAGCGGCCAUCUUUUGAAAAACUCGUAACAGAAUACUGGUUAUUAGCGCGGCUCCACUCCCAAUAGGGAGCGGAGUCAUGAGGGUAGAAGCGCCGAAGAUUCAGCGGAUCUAAAUAACAUACCGAUACCUUGUCCUAGUAUAGCAACCCUUCGUAAAACAGGGGCAAGUAUAUAUUAAGGGUAGCGGAACAUUGGGGAAGUUUAUUACGAUGUCUUUAUGAGGCAUAUAUGCGACAACCCAAUAGAGAAUGCUGACAUGAGUAACGAUAAAGGGGAAACCCUCGCCUAAAGCUUAUGGAAUUAUAUUAAAAGUCUUACGGCCUCUAAGCUAACCCCAAAAGGAGUAAGCGAUGAGAAAAUCUUAAGAGCUUACAGUACACAACGCCCCUAAAUCACUUUACCCAGUAGUCUUAAAAGGAUGAGGGUUAAGCUAGUGACAUGCGUUCAGGAAAAAUGUAAGCUCGGCAUCAGGGUGGCAUAUACCUAAGUUUUAAACGCAACUCAGCCAUAUGUCCCAUGUCGGUGGACCGUACCUAAAUACUAACACAAGUAAGCGAGUAGAGUAUACGAAGGCGUUCGAGUGAACAAUCAUUAAGGAACUCGGCAAAUUGACUCCGUAACUUCGGGAGAAGGUGGGCCAUCCCUUCUGAUUAAUAUUAGAUAGGGGGAGGAGGCACAGAAUGGUGUUGUACGACUGUUUAAUUAAAACAAAGCACACUGCAAAGAAAUAAAUUCGAAGUAUUGGGUGUGAUCUCUGCCCGAUGGCGGCUGGCUACCGGAUUUGCUUAGUUCACUAAUACAGGCUAGGCUUUGAAGGAACCCCCGUUCAAUGGCGGUCUUACGAUGAGGAUCCUAAGGUAGCGGAAUACCCUGGCCGUUAAAUGCGGUCUUGCAUGAAUGAUGUAACGAUACAACAGCUGUCUCAAUGAUUGGCUCGGUGAAAUUGGAAUAGCAGUGGCCUUGUUUAAACCUACGCUGCGUUGGUUAGAAUCCAACUCUAUAGUUCCAAUCAAAGGGAUGGGAUAAUUCUUGCGAGCAUGUUCCAUCAGCACUGGUUGCGGAGCAUCCCCUCCUAAAAGAAGAGAAUUAAAUAAUAUGGAUUAAGUUAAGGUUACAACCGCAUAGUCCUUUAGCUAUAGAAAAAUAAGGAGAAAACGGUUAAAGACAUCAGAGUCCAAGACCGUCGGCAAUUGUAAAUGUCGCUACAGGCUGGUUCUUCGGGGUUGAGCUGAAAUGUUCGUCCAAAUGUACAGUCGGGUUCUGUUGCUCCAUUAGGCAUCCCCUUUAUUUAGGAGGUGGUCAGCAGAAAUUGGCAGAUACUGUUUCCCUCUAGAUAGACGAGAAGACCCUAUGCAGCUUUACUGUUGCUAGUUACCGAAUAUGAUGUGCUGGGUUUCAGUGUAUAAGGUACCCGCCAGGGAAAAUUGAAACACCUUUACUUUAGCUUUCAUAUUAUAUAAACCCUACCAUCCAGAUAGGAUAGGUCUACUUAGGCCAUUCUUUAGAUGUCAUAUUAGUCCAUGAGUCUCCCCCAAGCUUGCUUGGGUGGACCGCGGAGCAGUCUACUGGAUAAGACAAAGGUAGAUGAACAAUUGCUAGGUGGCAGUUUAUGCGGGGCACAGAUCCCAUAAAAAGUACCUGGGAGUAACCUAAAUCACUUUCGUAAUAUCGCUAGUCGCCCUUCGCGAUUAGCAAUCCGUUAUAGGAUACGAGGCAAGGCUAUGCUUUUGGCUUUGUCUCUAUUAACAUGAAUUUGGCCUUAUCUACAGGCUCAUCCAGUUAUAGAUUCAUUUAAGUUGGAAUUAUUUUUAAAACCCAGUAAGAUUAUAUCUAUUAGUAAAUAUAGAUGUAGCCAGAUGGCCUUCUAGCAGGCUGAUCUUAAUUGUUUAACUCUUCGUCUUAGACAAGGAGGCCAAAUGAUACUAACUCUACUCACCAAGUUUAACGGCAGAAUCUUGCUUUACUGUAUGACCUACACGUCUACCAGUCGCGUAAGCGGGGCAUAAGAUCACAAGAUGCAGAAAGGAAAGGUCUUGGAUUAUUGGAAAAGCUACGCUAGGGAUUAAGCUUAGUCCUCAUGUAUAGAAAUAUACAUAGGUUUAAAUAGGAUUAAUUUCAAGGAUACUUUCUGGCUGAUGAAGGGGUGAUGCUACCUUGCAGCCACUCGCAUAAUGCAAGAAAAGUCAACUUGAAGCGAAGUUUGGUCCUACCUACAAGGGAUCAGGAACGUUUAACGACUAGAAGGUGAGUUAUGGAUGGUAUGCCUCAUUAGGCAAGCCAAAACAUGAUGAGAAUCCUUCCACGAAUAUCCUACGUCUAAUAGCUUAUGGCUGAAAUCUGACGAAGACAUAGUCUGAGCCACCUUGGAAAAGAUGGAAGUCAAAGAUAAAGAGCUUUCACGUUAACAAAGCUGAACAGGCUAAUUGCGCCAGAGAGUUCAAAUUGAGUGCGCAGUUUGGCACCUCGAUGUCGGCUUAGAUUAACCUUGAGGAUGCAGGAGCCUCAAAGGGUCCGACUGUUCGUCGGUUAAAAAUCUACACGAGCUGGGUUAAAUACGUCGUCAGACAGUACGGUUUCUAUCUUCUAGAGGCAGUAGAAUAAAAUAAGGUCAGCCCCUUGUACGAAAGGAGUUGGGUAUGUUAACCUAUUGUUUACCUGUUGUUUAUCCUCCUAUAUUAAUACGGAGUUGUGCUUUACAUGAAGCAUGCGCCGUGAUAUGUACGCCUAGCCGGUAUUUAUGCUGGCCCAUGGCUUACACUGGGACCCCACUCGUCAUUAGAGUGGUGGGUAGCAUAAGCUACGAUUAAGGAUAGGCACGGCAGGAAAGCUACGUUAGUUAUUGAUAAGUGCUGAAUGAAUAUAGGCACGAAGCAUACCUUAGGAUAUUCUUAUAUAUAUGUAGUUUAACACUACGAUUUGAGGU